rnacentral:rRNA from 1 species
CACAUGUGACGAGUUUGAUCCGUGGCUCAGAACGGACGCUGGCGGCAUGCCUAACACAUGCAAGUCGAACGAAGCCUUCGGGCUUAGUGGCGCACGGGUGCGUAACGCGUGGGAACCUACCAUCAGGUUCGGAAUAACAGUUAGAAAUGACUGCUAAUACCGGAUAAUGUCUUCGGACCAAAGAUUUAUCGCCUUUUGAUGGGCCCGCGUAAGAUUAGGUAGUUGGUGGGGUAAAGGCCUACCAAGCCGACGAUCUUUAGCUGGUCUGAGAGGAUGAUCAGCCACACUGGGACUGAGACACGGCCCAGACUCCUACGGGAGGCAGCAGUGGGGAAUAUUGGACAAUGGGCGAAAGCCUGAUCCAGCAAUGCCGCGUGAGUGAUGAAGGCCUUAGGGUUGUAAAGCUCUUUUACUGGGGAUGAUAAUGACAGUACCCAGAGAAUAAGCUCCGGCUAACUCCGUG